AUAAUAAAACUUCGAUCUGGUUUGAGUGGGGAGCAGCCACUCAAAGUAAUGGGGAAAGCCUGGUGAGAAUCCAGCACUGUCCCGCAACUGUAAUCGCAUCUCCAUCUGGAGAUCGACAAAGUCAGAACGCCCGCCAGAAGCUACAUUUAGUU
rnacentral:ncRNA from 2 species